GGGAGAAAGCAGGGGACCUUCGGGCCUUGCGCUAUCAGAUGAGCCUAGGUCGGAUUAGCUAGUUGGUGAGGUAAUGGCUCACCAAGGCGACGAUCCGUAACUGGUCUGAGAGGAUGAUCAGUCACACUGGAACUGAGACACGGUCCAGACUCCUACGGGAGGCAGCAGUGGGGAAUAUUGGACAAUGGGCGAAAGCCUGAUCCAGCCAUGCCGCGUGUGUGAAGAAGGUCUUCGGAUUGUAAAGCACUUUAAGUUGGGAGGAAGGUGCAGUAACUUAAUACGUUGCUGUCUUGACGUUACCGACAGAAUAAG
rnacentral:rRNA from 1 species